UUCUCAACAAUCACUGAUCUCUUCUCCACCGGAUCAUCAUCAUCAUCAUCGCCGCCGGAGC
rnacentral:sRNA from 1 species